AAAAAAAAAAAAAACGAAUACGACUGGUUGCCGAGAAGAAUAGAGGCGGGGGCAGCCUAACCUGGGCCACCGAGUUUGGUAAGAAAGAGGCGGUUCCAAGUGGUGAUAUCAUAGGCCGCCAGGGCACUGUACCGGUUGCCCAAAAUGUCAGCUAUGCACACCACCACCCGAUUCCGAGGGCGGUCGAUGGUGAAGCCCAGAGUGGCGUUGCCGGCCAAGUCAGCGUCCUUUACCACCUGGAUCUCCUCCAAGGCCGAGGCUUUGGGAUGAUGAUGCUCGGCAAGAAUCGGAACUACGCCCAUACCCCCCUCGAACAACGACACGAUGAAUCGACUGUUGACGUCGUCCCACUUGCUGCACUCCCUCAGCCACCCAACACUCUGGUAUUCGUACACGUGCCUGCCCGCCUUCCCAGCCGUCCCCAGCCUUAUCACAUAUCCGAUGGGAACGGCUGAUAUCAGGAACAACACCAACAAACACCUGGUGGAACAGCAAGGGGAGCGAGCCAUGGCCGCCGUCUUACUCUCAGAUUCAGAUUUUCUCCCACCUCUUUCUCUAUGCCUAAGCCCCGCCCCCUCCUCUCCCUACUCUAAUAUGGUGUCCGGUCAAGAUUCGGAGACGGUCCGACUAAUCUCCUGAGCUUGGAGUACAACGCCACCCCAAUCGCAUUCAGGUGUUAAGUGAGGUCGAUCCCGCGACGUGCGAGAGUGUCGGAAGCAGCCACAAAUCGCGUGAUUUAGAGCCGGGCAAUUAAGUCUAAUUAGGAUAUGUCUUUUUGGUACUGACGGCAAAAGAGGAGGCUGUUGGCUGUACACUAGGAGGAGGAUUGGGGUUGGUAGCUUUGACUUUUGAUUUUUCAGAGAGAGUAAUUGAACCAACGACCACGUACACGUAGACUACCACCAAGCCAAAGACCAAAAUCGCAGCUCAGUUGAGCUGGCAUUGGAAAAUCCGAAGUUAAACACUAGGGGGUUUUUGAAAUCGACGAGCCAGAGUACUUUUGAGUUUGGGCAUCUGGCAACACAAAAAUUAUUGCUGGUUGCUUUUAUUUUUUAAUACUUUGAUUUCGCGGUCCUUUUCUUUAUUUAUUGCUGGUAUUUAAGCACACAAAAAUUAGGGCCAGGCGCCAAUGAAAA